rnacentral:rRNA from 1 species
UACGAAGGGGGCUAGCGUUGUUCGGAUUUACUGGGCGUAAAGCGCACGUAGGCGGAUUGUUAAGUCAGGGGUGAAAUCCUGGAGCUCAACUCCAGAACUGCCUUUGAUACUGGCAAUCUUGAGUCCGGAAGAGGUGAGUGGAACUCCUAGUGUAGAGGUGGAAUUCGUAGAUAUUAGGAAGAACACCAGUGGCGAAGGCGGCUCACUGGUCCGGUACUGACGCUGAGGCGCGAAAGCGUGGGUAGCAAACAGG